rnacentral:SRP_RNA from 2 species
AUGCAGACUAGCUUGGGGGGUUAGCCGUCCCUUGUAACUAUAAACCGGCUUCAUGAUAGGAGCGAAAAGCAAGGCGAGGUAAUGGUUUUAGUUAUCUAGUCUUGACUUAAACUAAGACGAUAUGUCCUUUGGAGCUAAUCUUCCUGAGAAUCAGGUCAGGUUAGGAAUAAAGCAGCCUUAAUCAUGAUCUUUGGCGUUCAGAGGGUAACAUAUCUGAGAAUAAGUUAAGGUAACUAAUAGCCAAGAUUAUUAUCCAACCUUGUGAAGUCUGUAU